AUUUUCUGUCAACAAACAACGAUUUAUUAAUGAAAUUCUGGUAAAUUUAGAGGGAGCAUUAUGAGAAGCAAUUUAUGAGAAUUUUAUGUAUUGGAAAUUCGUAACGAAAAUAAUAUUUUCAGCUUAUAGGAAUGUAUGUUCUGUUAGGUGAAUGUUCUUCUGAUAAAAAAAUCCUUUGUUUCAUAUUUUCCCCCAUGAACGGACCCUUAAGUUGCAUAUUCGUUUGCGUCACUACCGGGGAAUUAUUCAGUACAGUUUAAAACUCUGAGCAAGCGACUUGAAUGUCGACCUAAAGCUUCUUUAUUUUAAAAAGAAAAAAAUAAUUUGUUUUUGAGAUUUUCUGCGAGGAAUAAUAUUCGCGCUAAAUUUAUUCAAGAUGACAUCAAUUUCAAAGAUAUUGAAAUUGUUGACUUUAAGCAUUUCAUUAUGGUACAUAUUGAAACCGUUAAUAUGCUGCAUUAGUAAAGGAUUUUGUUGUAUAAUAAUUUGUAUUUAAUCUCCAAAUUCAAGUCGAUGUAAAAUAAAUGCAUUGAUAUAACA